CUGCCGGCUUAUAGCAAGAGAAAAUCGAGAUCACAUGACUAAUGUCAAGGUGGCCGCCAUCUUGGUACUACUGGUUGCCAACUGGUGAGUUGUUGGAAGGCAGAAGCCGGAACGUAGCGGCGGUUUCUGGUAACUGGUCUCUUGACCAGAAAAGAACCAGUAGAUGGUAUGUUGCUGGAAACGGAGGACCCCGAAUGGAGCUCCCCGGGAAGGAGCUUACUUUUCCUAUUCAAGUUAUUGGUAUUACCAUCCACCAGGUCUUCCAAACCAGAAAGCAGGAAGGAAUUCCUGAGCUGCCAGGCACGAAUCCUGUCAGUUCUUCCUUUAGAGGCAUAUUUUUUUCCAAGCCCUCUGCGCAUGCCCCAGUUGCAGCUUGUUCCUUGCCUUGCUUGGAUUGUUUGCUAGAGCCCCUUAAUGGGCCUCUCAGCAUACAACGUUGCCCCUUCAGUCCACACCACUCCCAGACUGAAUUUGCUGUCCAGGUAGUCUCAAAACUCCUUACCGUGGCUGAGAGACCUCAGUACUAGGCUACUUUGCAAAUGUUAUUUCCGCACUCCUCGUUCUACCGAGUGUACCUGUACCCAUCAUUGCCUCUUUACAUGCAGUCCCUCUUCAACAAGACGUCGCAAACUUCAGCAUCACCUCUCUUGAAAAGCGUUCUACUAGCCUCCCUUCCCCUUCCCCUUGGGCCUACUUCACUGUGCGCUUAAUCUUUUUGUGCUGCAUCUCCUAACUAGGUUGUGAGAGCUUGGAGGUAAGAGGCUGGGUCCUAUUUAUACUUGCAUCUCCACUGUUGGGCUAUGUGCCUAGACAUAGUUAAGUGUCCAAUAAUGUUUGCUGAGCGAAGGAGGCAUUGAUUGGGGACCUGGGUACCACCCUUCAGUGCUUUCCCAGCCCCCAGGCCCUCCUUCAGACCCCAGAGGAGUUUCUAUGGUCAGGUUCCCACUACACCGCUGGACUCAAAGAUACCAAUGACACCUACUCCUGGAAGGCAGGCUUGCCUUGUUUUAAUAGUGAUUCUAUGUAUUUAUUAAAAAGGAACGAACGGCGGUGCUAUGUCUGCAAGAGAGUGUUUGUAGCCAGACCAUGCUAUGCUUUGAGCCAGAUUAACACGAGUCCUACCAAAUGGUUAAACAACACCAACAGGAUGUUCAUGGGUGGAGCAGAGGGAUUUGGAAUAUAGGAGAUCCCUAUUUGCUAAUCCAAAAGCUUCUCAGUAAACCAUUCUUCCCCUCUCAUCCUCACUUUUUCUCACAGAUUCUUACUUCAGGAAGAGGAGAACUUGGUGCAGAGUCACAGCUGCUUAAAAUUUCACUGAAAAUUGCUUCAUCAGACAUCCUCAGCUUCAGUGGUCUGGGAGAGCUAAGUUGAGCACGGAAGACAAGCUCUAAAAGAUAGGAGGAGAGAGGGAGAGAAACAUCAUUUGCUUGCUUCUCCUACCCGCCCCGACGUGGGACAGAACUGCAACCCAUGCAUGUGCCCUGACUGGAAUGAAAUCAGCGACCUUGAACUUUGAGGAAAGCUGCCCAAUGAACUGAGCCACACUAGUCAGGGCAGUAAAAUCUUUUUACUGUAUUUAACAUAAUCAAGAUUUGGAUACUUUAUUGGGAUGUAGUUUAAUCUAAGCAAACCAAUUAAGGAAAAUGUGAUUUUUAAAAAAAUGCCUUGAAUCCUAAUUUUGUUGAGCACUUGGUUUUCUAACAUGUACUCUUUAAGCCUCCUUACUAUAUUAUCUCCAUGCAUUCUCACAACAACCCUAUGAAGUAUUUCUAAAACUAUAACCUUUUUUAGGGUUGAGGAAGGAGUGAAGUUAGUUGCCUAACAUGGGACUAAUUAGAAGUGAACAGGAAAUUCAAAGGCAAAUUUCUUUUUUUUUUAA